CUUCUGACAUCUUCAACUGCUUUGUGAAGUCUACUACAGUAUACUGCAAGUAAAAUGAUUUCUGGUCUCCUGAAGAGAAUAUCUUACUCUGUGUUUGUGACAUACGUGCAUCAUCAUACUUUCCAGUUUCAGACAUAAUGGACACAAUGAUCACAAAUUUACCCAGUGAAUUUGUGUAUGCUAUCCUCGCUGCCAGGGAGGAUGAAGAUCUACACAGCCCAUGAUUCUUACCCUGGGGGAGCUUGGACAAACUUUGAACAUGAAACCAUCAUGACAAUACAAAGGUUUCAAGUUCUGUCCCACAAUUUUCCAGUGAUUCUACAAGGAGCAAAGUCCAUAAGCAAAAGGUUUGAGCUAAAAACAUAACCAUCAGCAAAUAUUUAAGAUGUUUUUAUUUUGUGUUGUUUUUUUUAUUAUUUUCCUGCCUGGUAUGCUAGGGAGAAAAAAAAACUUGAAAAAUUCUAUAUCUUCAAGUUAUUAAGAAGAUAUUUGUGAUUUUCAUUCUCAGUGUAUUAUUUAGCCAGGUAUAUCCCUAUUUUCUUUCUUUUAUUUUGCAAUGUUCACUAUGAUGUUAGUAUGGAAAAUAAAAUAUGACUCAUAUUGGUUAUAAAGAUAGAUUACAUGUGUACAAAGAAUUCUGACCUCAAAUUAGGAAGUUGAAAAUUUCCUAAAAUCUGCUCUAGCAAACAUUACUGGAAACAUUUGUAUGAUUUUUUUUAAACCUCUCAAAUACAUGAUUAAUUCAUGUAUAUUAGUAGAAAAUGAGAAAAAAAUGGAUUUUGUCCAAACCACCUAUAAGAUACUAUUGCCAUCUUGACUCUUGUAUACAAAAAUGGUGGCAGAAUCAGAAAAUAUGGAGACUAAAAAUUAUAUAUUAAACAAGGAACUUAUUAAAGUUAUAAAAAUGACAUUAUAAUCUUAAUUAAGCCAAAAAUGAUAUUCUAGUUUCCAGUUGCAGAUGCAAGUAGCCAUUUCACAAUUUACCUUGGGCUGAUUGACUAAUCUCAAUAAAAACUUAAGUGAUUCAGAAAUGUAACUGUCUAGAAAGUAAAACUUCAAGAGCCCUGUCCUCAAUACCUCAAGUCCCAGAGUGACAAUGGGAGUCCCAAUGGACACCUUGGAGAAUUUAGCCCCUCCUUCAACUUUAAUUUACCCUGCGGUUACAGUCUACUACUAAGAUACUAAUUUUUGAAAAAGAAGAUGAGACUAAGAGUAUGAAUAAAUAAGUAAAUGAGUAAAUUACUAGAGAAUCUUGGGGACCAAGAGUAAACCACUUGAUCACCAAAAAAACCCAAAAAACAAAAAACAGCAAUAAGAAUAUCCACUUCACAAUUUGUACUAGCAUCAGUAUCACCAAGGACUAAUUAGUUCAGAAUCCUUGAGAAGAGAACACAUUCCUUGAAAAGUAAAUAAAUAUUCUGAUGGGUUCUUGCCUUAGAAUCGUUAAAGGAUUUUGUGUUGCAAAAAAAAAAAAAAUGUUGAAUUAGUAGUAGUCCUUCUACAAUGAUAUUUGUCUCUC